rnacentral:rRNA from 1 species
UACGGAGGAUGCAAGCGUUAUCCGGAAUGAUUGGGCGUAAAGCGUCCGCAGGUGGCUAUGUAAGUCUGCUGUUAAAGAGUGAGGCUCAACCUCAUAAGAGCAGUGGAAACUACAUGGCUAGAGUGCGUUCGGGGCAGAGGGAAUUCCUGGUGUAGCGGUGAAAUGCGUAGAGAUCAGGAAGAACAUCGGUGGCGAAGGCGCUCUGCUGGACCAUAACUGACGCUCAGGGACGAAAGCUAGGGGAGCGAAUGGG